UGCCGGGUCGUCUAAUGGCAGGACAGCGGCCUUUGGAGCCGUAUGUGGAGGUUCGAAUCCUCCCCCGGCAGCAA
rnacentral:tRNA from 1 species